UAGGUAACCUGCCUUGUAGCGGGGGAUAACUAUUGGAAACGAUAGCUAAUACCGCAUAACAAUGGAUGACACAUGUCAUUUAUUUGAAAGGAGCAAUUGCUCCACUACAAGAUGGACCUGCGUUGUAUUAGCUAGUAGGUGAGGUAAUGGCUCACCUAGGCGACGAUACAUAGCCGACCUGAGAGGGUGAUCGGCCACACUGGGACUGAGACACGGCCCAGACUCCUACGGGAGGCAGCAUG
rnacentral:rRNA from 1 species